GCGGAGAAGGUGAUGCGGUACGUUGCACCUGGCUUAUAUCCAGCGAUUGUGGGUUCGACUCCUACUCUCCGUA
rfam:Firmicutes bacterium CAG:424 genomic scaffold, scf67